rnacentral:rRNA from 1 species
GUGAGGAAUUUUCCGCAAUGGGCGAAAGCCUGACGGAGCAAUGCCGCGUGAAGGAUGAAGGCCUAUGGGUUGUAAACUUCUUUUCUCAGAAAAGAAUUAUGACGGUAUCUGAGGAAUAAGCAUCGGCUAACUCUGUGCCAGCAGCCGCGGUAAGACAGAGGAUGCAAGCGUUAUCCGGAAUGAUUGGGCGUAAAGCGUCUGUAGGUUGUUUAAAAAGUAUUCUGUCAAAGAUUAGGGCUUAACCCUAGAUAGGCAGAAUAAACUUUUAAGCUAGAGUUUGGUAGAGGCAGAGGGAAUCCCCGGUGGAGCGGUGAAAUGCGUAGAUAUCGGGAGGAACACCAAAGGCGAAGGCACUCUGCUGGGCCAAUACUAACACUGAGAGACGAAAGCGAGGGGAGCAAAUGGGAUUAGAAACCCUAGUAGUCC